UGGCGGCGUGCUUACACAUGCAAGUCGAACGAACCUUCGGGUUAGUGGCGGACGGGUGAGUAACGCGCGAGAAUCUGCCCUCAGGAGGGGGAUAACGGUUGGAAACGACCGCUAAUACCCCAUAUGCCUACUGGUGAAAUGAAUUUCGCCUGAGGAUGAGCUCGCGUCUGAUUAGCUAGUUGGUGAGGUAAUGGCUCACCAAGGCUUCGAUCAGUAGCUGGUCUGAGAGGAUGAUCAGCCACACUGGGACUGAGACACGGCCCAGACUCCUACGGGAGGCAGCAGUGGGGAAUUUUCCGCAAUGGGCGAAAGCCUGACGGAGCAACGCCGCGUGAGGGACGAAGGCCUCUGGGCUGUAAACCUCUUUUCUCAAGGAAGAAGAUAUGACGGUACUUGAGGAAUAAGCCACGGCUAAUUCCGUGCCAGCAGCCGCGGUAAUACGGGAGUGGCAAGCGUUAUCCGGAAUUAUUGGGCGUUAAGC
rnacentral:rRNA from 1 species